rnacentral:rRNA from 1 species
UACGGGGGGGGCAAGCGUUGUUCGGAAUUACUGGGCGUAAAGGGCUCGUAGGCGGCCAACUAAGUCAGACGUGAAAUCCCUCGGCUUAACCGGGGAACUGCGUCUGAUACUGGAUGGCUAGAGUUUGGGAGAGGGAUGCGGAAUUCCAGGCGUAGCGGUGAAAUGCGUAGAUAUCUGGAGGAACACCGGUGGCGAGGGCGGCAUCCUGGACCAACACUGACGCUGAGGAGCGAAAGCCAGGGGAGCAAACGGG